ACGUAGGGGCAAGCGUAUCCGGAUUUAUUGGCGUAAAGCGAGCGCAGGCGGUCUUUUAAGUCUAAUGUGAAAGCCUUCGGCUCAACCGAAGAAGUGCAUUGGAAACUGGGAGACUUGAGUGCAGAAGAGGACAGUGGAACUCCAUGUGUAGCGGUGAAAUGCGUAGAUAUAUGGAAGAACACCAGUGGCGAAGGCGGCUGUCUGGUCUGUAACUGACGCUGAGGCUCGAAAGCAUGGGUAGCGAACAGGAUUAGAUACCCUGGUAGUCCAUGCCGUAAACGAUGAUUACUAAGUGUUGGAGGGUUUCCGCCCUUCAGUGCUGCAGCUAACGCAUUAAGUAAUCCGCCUGGGGAGUACGACCGCAAGGUUGAAACUCAAAAAGAAUUGACGGGGGCCCGCACAAGCGGUGGAGCAUGUGGUUUAAUUCGAAGCUACGCGAAGAACCUUACCAGGUCUUGACAUCUUCUGCCAACCUAAGAGAUUAGGCGUUCCCUUCGGGGACAGAAUGACAGGUGGUGCAUGGUUGUCGUCAGCUCGUGUCGUGAGAUGUUGGGUUAAGUCCCGCAACGAGCGCAACCCUUAUUACUAGUUGCCAGCAUUCAGUUGGGCACUCUAGUGAGACUGCCGGUGACAAACCGGAGGAAGGUGGGGACGACGUCAAAUCAUCAUGCCCCUUAUGACCUGGGCUACACACGUGCUACAAUGGAUGGUACAACGAGUCGCGAAACCGCGAGGUUUAGCUAAUCUCUUAAAACCAUUCUCAGUUCGGACUGUAGGCUGCAACUCGCCUACACGAAGUCGGAAUCGCUAGUAAUCGCGGAUCAGCAUGCCGCGGUGAAUACGUUCCCGGGCCUUGUACACACCGCCCGUCACACCAUGAGAGUUUGUAACACCCAAAGCCGGUGGGGUAACCUUUUAGGAGCUAGCCGUCUAAGGU
rnacentral:rRNA from 1 species